GGGUUUGACAUCCCACGAACAUGCUGAAAGGCAGGAGUGCCCGCAAGGGAGCGCGGAGACAGGUGGUGCAUGGCUGUCGUCAGCUUGUGUCGUGAGAUGUUGGGUUAAGUCCCGCAAGGAGCGCAACCCUCACCCCCUGUUGCUACCAGGUAAAGCUGGGCACUCUAGGGGAACUGCCCCGGUCAACGGGGAGGAAGGCGGGGAUGACGUCAAGUCAUCAUGCCCCUUACGUCAUGGGCUACACACGUGCUACAAUGGCCGGUACAAAGGGAUGCCACACCGCGAGGUAGAGCUAAACCCAAAAAGCCGGUCUAAGUUCAGAUUGGAGUAGCAACUCGACUCCAUGAAGGAGGAAUCGCUAGUAAUCGCGUAUCAGCACGACCCGGUGAAUACGUUCCCGGUCCUUGUACACACCGCCCGUCACACCCCGAAAGCCAGCUGUACUGGAAGUCGCUGAG
rnacentral:rRNA from 1 species